GAUGAAGAACGUAUCGAAAUGCGAUAAGUAGUGUGAAUUGCAGAAUUCAGUGAAUCAUCGAAUCUUUGAACGCACAUUGCGCCUCCUGGUAUUCCGGGAGGCAUGCCUGUUCGAGCGUCAUUAAAAUCACUCAAGCUUAGGUUUACCUAUUGCUUGGUCUUGGAGAUGGAAGCCAAUUUAUUGGAAUCCUCUUCGAAAUUCAAUGGCGAAGACCCUUGCUCUCCCAAGUGUAGUAAUAACUUAUGUCACUGAAGGAAGCGAGAAAUCUUCUGCCGUAACCCCCAUAUUUUCUAUGAUUGACCUCGGAUCAGGUAGGGAUACCCGCUGAACUUAAGCAUAUCAAUAAGCGGAGGA
rnacentral:misc_RNA from 1 species